rnacentral:rRNA from 1 species
ACAUGCCUACAACAUAGCAUUAAUGCAUUGGAUCCCAUUAGAACUCUGCAGUUAAGCACGCUCGAGCUAGAGUAGUACUGGGAUGGGUGACUGCCCGAGAAGUCCUACUGUUUUACAUGCC